AGCAGAGUGGCGCAGUGGAAGCGUGCUGGGCCCAUAACCCAGAGGUCCGUGGGUCGAAACACCGCUCUGCUA
rnacentral:tRNA from 1 species